UGGGGAAUUUUGGACAAUGGGCGAAAGCCUGAUCCAGCAAUGCCGCGUGUGUGAAGAAGGCCUUCGGGUUGUAAAGCACUUUUGUCCGGAAAGAAAUCCUUGGCUCUAAUACAGUCGGGGGAUGACGGUACCGGAAGAAUAAGCACCGGCUAACUACGUGCCAGCAGCCGCGGUAAUACGUAGGGUGCAAGCGUUAAUCGGAAUUACUGGGCGUAAAGCGUGCGCAGGCGGUUUGCUAAGACCGAUGUGAAAUCCCCGGGCUCAACCUGGGAACUGCAUUGGUGACUGGCAGGCUAGAGUAUGGCAGAGGGGGGUAGAAUUCCACGUGUAGCAGUGAAAUGCGUAGAGAUGUGGAGGAAUACCGAUGGCGAAGGCAGCCCCCUGGGCCAAAUACUGACGCUCAUGCACGAAAGCGUGGGGAGCAAGAGGAUUAGAUACCCUGGUAGUCCCACGCCCUAAACGAUGUCAACUAGUUGUUGGGGAUUCAUUUCCUUAGUAACGUAGCUAACGCGUGAAGUUGACCGCCUGGGGAGUACGGUCGCAAGAUUAAAACUUAAAGGAA
rnacentral:rRNA from 1 species